UACGGGGGGAGCAAGCGUUGUUCGGAUUUACUGGGCGUAAAGGGCGCGUAGGCGGCCACCGCAAGUCAGUUGUGAAAUCUCCGAGCUUAACUCGGAAAGGUCAACUGAUACUGCGGGGCUAGAGUGCGGAAGGGGCAACUGGAAUUCUUGGUGUAGCGGUGAAAUGCGUAGAUAUCGGGAGGAACACCUGAGGCGAAGGCGGGCUACUGGGCCGAUACUGACGCUGAUGUGCGAAAGCCAGGGGAGCGAACGGG
rnacentral:rRNA from 1 species